UACGAAGGGGGCUAGCGUUGUUCGGAAUUACUGGGCGUAAAGGGCGCGUAGGCGGUCCCUCAAGUCAGGCGUGAAAGCCCCGGGCUCAACCUGGGAACCGCGCUUGAGACUGAUGGGCUAGAGUUCGGGAGAGGAUGGUGGAAUUCCCGGUGUAGCGGUGAAAUGCGCAGAUAUCGGGAGGAACACCAGUGGCGAAGGCGACUUCCUGGCCUGUUCUUGACGCUGAGGCGCGAAAGCUAGGGUAGCAAACGGG
rnacentral:rRNA from 1 species